UACGUAGGGUGCGAGCGUUGUCCGGAAUUAUUGGGCGUAAAGAGCUUGUAGGCGGUUUGUCGCGUCUGCCGUGAAAAUUCGAGGCUCAACCUCGAACUUGCGGUGGGUACGGGCAGACUAGAGUGUGGUAGGGGAGACUGGAAUUCCUGGCGUAGCGGUGAAAUGCGCAGAUAUCAGGAGGAACACCGAUGGCGAAGGCAGGUCUCUGGGCCACUACUGACGCUGAGAAGCGAAAGCAUGGGGAGCGAACAGG
rnacentral:rRNA from 1 species